rnacentral:rRNA from 1 species
UACGUAGGUCCCGAGCGUUGUCCGGAUUUAUUGGGCGUAAAGCGAGCGCAGGUGGUUUAUUAAGUCUGGUGUAAAAGGCAGUGGCUCAACCAUUGUAUGCAUUGGAAACUGGUAGACUUGAGUGCAGAAGAGGAGAGUGGAAUUCCAUGUGUAGCGGUGAAAUGCGUAGAUAUAUGGAGGAACACCGGUGGCGAAAGCGGCUCUCUGGCCUGUAACUGACACUGAGGCUCGAAAGCGUGGGGAGCAAACAGG